GUCUUUGUAGUAUAUAAUUACCUUGGUCUUGUAAACCAAAAAUGGAGAAUUUAACUCUCCCUAAGACU
rnacentral:tRNA from 1 species